CAGAGUCCUGAGUUCCCUUCUCUCCCCAUUCAGUGACCAGCACUGAACACAGACCUCUCACCAUGAAGCUGUGGCUGAACUGCGUUUUCCUUGUAACUCUUUUAAAAGGUGUCCAGUGUGAGGUGCAGCUCAUAGAGUCUGGAGGAGGAUUGGUACAGCCUGGGGGUUCCCUGAAACUCUCUUGUGCAACCUCUGGAUUCACCUUUAGUGAUUUCUACAUGAACUGGGUCCGCCAGUUUCCAGGGAAGGGACUGGAGUGGGUUGGUUUUAUUAGAAACAAAGCUAAUGGUUACACAGCAGAGUACAGUGCGUCUGUGAAGGGCCGGUUCACCAUCUCCAGAGAUGAUUCCAAAAACACCCUCUACCUGCAAAUGAACAGCCUGAAGGCUGAGGACACUGCCACUUACUACUGUGCAAGAGACACAGUGAGGGGACUUCAGUGUGAGCCCAGACACAAACCUCCUUGCAGGGGCGCUCAGCACCAACAGGGGGCGCUCAGUGACAGAAAGAGAAGCAGGGCGCUUGUUACUCCCUGUACAAAUUUUCAGCAGGAAUGUAAUUUGGAACUAACAAUGCUGGAUCUACCACAGAAGUCUCUGAAUUAG